GUGUGUGUGUGUGUGUGUGUGUGUGUGUGUGUGUGUGUGUGUGUGUGUGUGUGUGUGUAUGUGUGGCAGGAGUGAUCUUCGGCUUAAAUCACGUUUGACUCUGCUGUGCUUUUAACCAUCCCCCAAUACAAAACCAUUUUUAUAUCCGACACGUUUGGACACGUUCUCAAAAAUUCCACCCCGCUGCCAGACUCCACUUCCUGCGUUCGUCUUUUCUAGUUGCCGCAAGACAUUUAAACGCCCCCACCACCCCACCCCCAGACUAUACACAGCCAGUCACCUCCAAAAAACCCACAGCAGUGUUCUCAAGGUAAUUUUCCUGGCUGAUGAAUAGCGCCAUGAUUUGCACAAGCUCAGCACUGCAGCUAAACGUGUCAUUCUAGGCGUUACAAACCUUUUGUAUUUUUCUUUCUUUUUUUUUUAAAUGCUGGAGGCACCAUUUAGAAAGGGAGAUCAAGGCUGUCGAGCUCGAUUCGGUCGGCGGGGGGAUCCAGAGCCAGGUCAGAUGAAGUUUGUUGUUUAAAAAAAGGAUGCUGGAUGAUGAUGAUGAAUUGAGCUUUAAAAUAGUAUGAAGAGGGCAGAAUUAGAGCACUGGGGUAACUAAUCUCAGUGCUGUAGUGAUCUUAAUGCUGUACAAGAUUAUUCAUCGUCUUCAUCCAUAGCCCACCUACUGUAAUUGGACACAGGCAGGGAAAACAUCGUUUUCUCCAUUCAUUUUUGCACUAGAAUUAGAGAUUAUUGAAUUCUUCCCCAAGAAACAGCAUUACAAAGUAAAACAUACUCAAUCCAUGCAGUCAUGACUGAAGAUAAGCGUAAACAGAGGCGUCCUAAUUCUAUUUUACACACGAUCACGUCAUCCUUACUGGCUUUGAACAAUAUUAACAAUAUAAAACCGUUAGCCUAAAAAUAAAUGUAGGAGAAUUAGACAUAAACGAAUAAAUCGAAUUUCAUUGAACAGUGUUACUCGUAUUUCCAGUCUUGUUCUAAAAACUGGAAUUUUUUUUUUCCCCCCUGAAACUCGAAGGUGCGUUUUAUCGUCCCCUAUUCAUUCGGUGAACCGUGAAAAGACGAUCCUGUCGGAGCUUGUUGCAGAUAACCGCAUGCGUUUAUGUAAAGCGUUCAGCUGAAGGCAGCUCAUCAGACCAGAGACCAGCUCUAUGCAUUAGAGUUUUCUGCAGAAGUAUAUUUUUUUUUUUCCUCACCUUCCACUGUAUUUCUGAAAUCUCCAACGAAGACGUGCUUUUAUUUGUCUUAGCAUUUUUUGUUGUUGUUGUUGUUGGAAACACGGCCCUAACAGUGGUUCGAUGAAGAAGGGGAUGACGUGAGACGAACACGUUAAUGAUGUAAAAUGUCGACGUUCUUCACUGUCCUUAUUCGAUGCGAUUCGAUUUUUAGGGAUUUUGUUUAAAACUGGACAUUUUAAACAUUUCGGUUGAUUCGCUGCUGUGCUUUUUGUCUCUCUGUCUGUCUCUGUCUCCGUUUGUCUCUCUCUGUCUCUCUUGGCUUGGCUACAGAGUUAUAGAACAAACUAACAAAUAAGUACAGAAAUAAAGUGAAAAUAACCCUC